rnacentral:rRNA from 1 species
AACCAAAACUACAUCCCUUGAGUGUUGGAGAGGAAAGUGGAAUUCCUAGUGUAGCGGUGAAAUGCGUAGAUAUUAGGAGGAACACCAGUGGCGAAGGCGACUUUCUGGACAAUUACUGACGUUGAGGCACGAAAGUGUGGGGAGCAAACAGGAUUAGAUACCCUGGUAGUCCACACUGUAAACGAUGGAUACUAGGUGUAGGGAAUAUUAAGUUCUCUGUGCCGCCGCUAACACAUUAAGUAUCCCACCUGGGGAGUACGACCGCAAGGUUGAAACUCAAAGGAAUUGACGGGGGCCCGCACAAGCAGUGGAGUAUGUGGUUUAAUUCGAAGCAACGCGAAGAACCUUACCAGGGCUUGACAUAUACAGGAAUAAGUAAGAGAUUACUUAGCUCUUCGGAGUCUGUAUACAGGUGGUGCAUGGUUGUCGUCAGCUCGUGUCGUGAGAUGUUGGGUUAAGUCCCGCAACGAGCGCAACCCCUACAGUUAGUUGCCAGCACGUAAUGGUGGGAACUCUAGCUGGACUGCCGGUGAUAAAUCGGAGGAAGGGUGGGGACGACGUCAAAUCAUCAUGCCCUUUAUGUCCUGGGCUACACACGUACUACAAUGGCCCGCAACAGGGAAGCAAUAUAGUGAUAUGGAGCAAAACCCUAAAAACGGUCUCAGUUCGGAUUGAAUUCUGACAUUCGACUUCAUGAAGCUGGAAUUGCUAGUAAUGGCAAGGUCAGCAUACUGCCGUGAAUACCUUCCCCCGGCCCUUGUACACAC